GAUGAACGCUGGCGGCGUGCUUAACACAUGCAAGUCGAACGAUGAAGCCCAUCUUGCUGGGUGGAUUAGUGGCGAACGGGUGAGUAACACGUGAGCAACCUGCCCCUGACUCUGGGAUAAGCGCUGGAAACGGCGUCUAAUACUGGAUAUGUCCCGUCACCGCAUGGUGUGCGGGUGGAAAGAUUUUUCGGUUGGGGAUGGGCUCGCGGCCUAUCAGCUUGUUGGUGAGGUAAUGGCUCACCAAGGCGUCGACGGGUAGCCGGCCUGAGAGGGUGACCGGCCACACUGGGACUGAGACACGGCCCAGACUCCUACGGGAGGCAGCAGUGGGGAAUAUUGCACAAUGGGCGGAAGCCUGAUGCAGCAACGCCGCGUGAGGGAUGACGGCCUUCGGGUUGUAAACCUCUUUUAGCAGGGAAGAAGCGAAAGUGACGGUACCUGCAGAAAAAGCACCGGCUAACUACGUG
rnacentral:rRNA from 1 species